GACGAACGCUGGCGGCGUGCUUAACACGUGCAAGUCGAACGGAAAGGCCCUGCUUGCAGGGUACUCGAGUGGCGAACGGGUGAGUAACACGUGGGUGAUCUGCCCUGCACUUCGGGAUAAGCCUGGGAAACUGGGUCUAAUACCGGAUAGGAGCCAUUUUUAGUGUGAUGGUUGGAAAGUUUUUUCGGUGUAGGAUGAGCUCGCGGCCUAUCAGCUUGUUGGUGGGGUAAUGGCCUACCAAGGCGGCGACGGGUAGCCGGCCUGAGAGGGUGGACGGCCACAUUGGGACUGAGGUACGGCCCAGACUCCUACGGGAGGCAGCAGUGGGGAAUAUUGCACAAUGGGCGCAAGCCUGAUGCAGCGACGCCGCGUGGGGGAUGACGGCCUUCGGGUUGGAAACUCCUUUCGCUAGGGACGAAGCUUUUUGUGACGGUACCUAGAUAAGAAGCACCGGCUAACUACGUG
rnacentral:rRNA from 1 species